rnacentral:rRNA from 1 species
AGAACGAACGCUGGCGGCAUGCCUAACACAUGCAAGUCGAACGCUUUUGGGGCUUCGGUCCCAAAGGAGUGGCGCACGGGUGAGUAGCGCGUGGGAACCUGCCCUGUUGUGGGGGAUAACCGAGGGAAACUUCGGCUAAUACCGCAUACGCCCGGGGGAAACUCCGGGGAAAGAUUUAUCGCAGCAGGAGGGGCCCGCGUCGGAUUAGGUAGUUGGUGGGGUAACGGCCCACCAAGCCUGUGAUCCGUAGCUGGUCUGAGAGGAUGAUCAGCCACACUGGGACUGAGACACGGCCCAGACUCCUACGGGAGGCAGCAGUGGGGAAUAUUGGACAAUGGGCGCAAGCCUGAUCCAGCAAUGCCGCGUGAGUGAUGAAGGCCUUCGGGUUGUAAAGCUCUUUCGCACGCGACGAUGAUGACGGUAGCGUGAGAGAAGCCCGGCUAACUCGUGCAGCAGCCGC